rnacentral:rRNA from 1 species
UACAGAGGUCCCAAGCGUUGUUCGGAUUCACUGGGCGUAAAGGGUGCGUAGGUGGUGGGGUAAGUCGGAUGUGAAAGCUCGGAGCUUAACUCCGAAAUUGCAUUGGAGACUACCCUGCUAGAGGGUCGGAGGGGGGACUGGAAUACUUGGUGUAGCAGUGAAAUGCGUAGAUAUCAAGUGGAACACCAGUGGCGAAGGCGAGUCCCUGGACGACUCCUGACACUGAGGCACGAAAGCUAGGGGAGCAAACAGG